rnacentral:tRNA from 1 species
AGGAUAAAAGUUUUAAACAUUUAAUUUGCACUUAAAAAAUACUGAUUUACAUCAGUUUAUCUUA